UUAAUCUGUCAUCAUCUAUGAUUAAUGAAGAUCUAAAUGUGUUUGUUUUCAUCCAGAAGAGGGCUUUCAUCUCUUUUCUGUAUCCCUCAUGCACACAAUGAGCUCAAGACUCGUCCUGGAAGGUGAAAUCUUGCCACAGGGUGGAGCUCCAGACUUUAAUCACAGUGUUUCAGUCAAGAAAAGGAACUUUUGAGUCAUUUCAUUUCAUCAUGCUGCUCUGUGCACUUGUGAUAUUUUCAGUACUUGCAGGAGUCUCUCUUGGUGAUAUAAUAACAUCUCAUGAUUCUGAAAAACAAGCUCAAGAUGGUAACAGAGUUGCUCUCUACUGCAACUACACUGGUGUUGUUUUAAAUCUGCUGUGGUAUCGUCAGUAUCAAAGAUCCAAACCAGAACUCCUUCUCUCCAUGACUGAAUCUGGAGAUCCAGUUAAAGCUGAUCCAUCUGCGCACUGGUUAUCAGCUACAGUUGACAAAAAUAGAAAGCUCAUGCAACUGAAAAUCAGCCCUGCUAAAGUAUCAGACUCUGCACAGUAUUACUGUGCCCUGCAGCCCACAGUGACAGGAAACCCUUUUCCUCUGCACAAAAUCUUUCUGUAUAUUAUCAUGCUUUUCACAGAUUUUUAACAAGCAAUGUUUUCUCCAGUAUGAAUUAUUUCUGACUGCAUCAGUCAUCAAUAACACAAGCAUCUCUUAAGGAUCAAUAACUCAAAUCAAUUGUGAUGCUUCCUGGAAUAUUUGUAUAAUAUAAAUAUAAGUAUAAUAUAAAAGUUCAAUAAAUUGGUGAAAAAAGAGAUGAUGAGAGAGAAAUAACUGCACCAAUUAAUGUUUUCAGAAAAAGUUUAAUAAAGUAUUACAAUCUUCUUAUGCUUUUCUUUAAUAGACGUUGGCAGACUUUGAAUCACAGGUCACAUGAACUGGUUUAAGUAUAAUGACUUUAUUAAAUAUGAGCAAAAAAAUAACAUUAAUUGUCUGAGUUUUUGUGAUUAUUGCAUGUCAGGUUUUGCCCUUGUAUUGAUGAUAAUAGGUCUGCUCAAAAGUCAGAGAUUGGUUUUCAUUUCAGUUUAUAUUUGUUAAUGUAAUUUGUUGUUCCCAAGGUUACUAUAAAAACAGAGCGCUUGCAUCGAUGCUGCAAUGUUCUUGCUCGCAAGAUGUAUUUUUUUAUUUAACUUUUUUUUUACAGUAGAUAAAUUUGUUAUUGAUAAUAAUAUUCCAGAUAUUGUUUAACUAUAUAUAACAAUCGGACACCUUGUCGUUGAGUAUUUUAUGAAUAUUUUAGAAUAUGCUCAUUUUUAAUUUAGACUAAUUCUGAACUGUCUGAGAUAGCUGAAAUACUUCAGUAAAGAUCAUUUUACCUAUUGCUCACUUACCAUAAUUCACUGCUAGAGGGCGGAGCUAUUCAAUUCAUGACUUACAUUAGUAAGCUCCUGCUAUAUUGAGUUAGUUUUAGAAGGAAAUGUGCAGCAUUAACUCUCACAGUCAUUUUAUUAGUAAGAUGUUGUUCCUGUUUUUAAUUGUUAUUUUCCUGCUCAAAGGUCAGUUAUUCAUUUUUUUAAACAUUUGAUCAAAUUAUUUAUUCAGUGUGAACAACGUGUACAGUAUGUAUCUAGCCCAAAGGAAUAAUUUAGCAUCUUUGUU